CUGCUUACCUGCAGUCGAACGGAAAGGCCCUUCGGGGUGCUCGAGUGGCGAACGGGUGAGUAACACGUGGGUGAUCUGCCCUGCACUUUGGGAUAAGCCUGGGAAACUGGGUCUAAUACCGAAUAGGACUCCGGACUGCAUGGUCUGGGGUGGAAAGCUUUUGCGGUGUGGGAUGGGCCCGCGGCCUAUCAGCUUGUUGGUGGGGUGAUGGCCUACCAAGGCGACGACGGGUAGCCGGCCUGAGAGGGUGACCGGCCACACUGGGACUGAGAUACGGCCCAGACUCCUACGGGAGGCAGCAGUGGGGAAUAUUGCACAAUGGGCGCAAGCCUGAUGCAGCGACGCCGCGUGAGGGAUGACGGCCUUCGGGUUGUAAACCUCUUUCAGCACAGACGAAGCGUGAGUGACGGUAUGUGCAGAAGAAGGACCGGCCAACUACGUGCCAGCAGCCGCGGUAAUACGUAGGGUCCGAGCGUUGUCCGGAAUUACUGGGCGUAAAGAGCUCGUAGGUGGUUUGUCGCGUUGUUCGUGAAAACUCACAGCUUAACUGUGGGCGUGCGGGCGAUACGGGCAGACUGGAGUACUGCAGGGGAGACUGGAAUUCCUGGUGUAGCGGUGGAAUGCGCAGAUAUCAGGAGGAACACCGGUGGCGAAGGCGGGUCUCUGGGCAGUAACUGACGCUGAGGAGCGAAAGCGUGGGGAGCGAACAGGAUUAGAUACCCUGGUAGUCCACGCCGUAAACGGUGGGUACUAGGUGUGGGUUUCCUUCCUUGGGAUCCGUGCCGUAGCUAACGCAUUAAGUACCCCGCCUGGGGAGUACGGCCGCAAGGCUAAAACUCAAAGGAAUUGACGGGGGCCCGCACAAGCGGCGGAGCAUGUGGAUUAAUUCGAUGCAACGCGAAGAACCUUACCUGGGUUUGACAUGCACAGGACGUCGGCAGAGAUGUCGGU
rnacentral:rRNA from 1 species